rnacentral:rRNA from 1 species
AACGAACGCUGGCGGCAGGCUUAACACAUGCAAGUCGAACGCCCCGCAAGGGGAGUGGCAGACGGGUGAGUAACGCGUGGGAACAUACCCUUUCCUGCGGAAUAGCUCUGGGAAACUGGAAUUAAUACCGCAUACGCCCUACGGGGGAAAGAUUUAUCGGGGAAGGAGUGGCCCGCGUUGGAUUGGAUGGUUGGUGGGGUAAAGGCGUACCAAGGCGACGAUCCAUAGCUGGUCUGAGAGGAUGAUUAGCCACAUUGGGACUGAGACACGGCCCAAACUCCUACGGGAGGCAGCAGUGGGGAAUAUUGGACAAUGGGCGAAAGCCUGAUCCAGCCAUGCCGCGUGAGUGAUGAAGGCUUUAGGGUUGUAAAGCUCUUUCACCGAUGAAGAUAAUGACGGUAGUCGGAGAAGAAGCCCCGGCUAACUUCGUGCCAGCAGCCGCCGUAACAC